rnacentral:rRNA from 1 species
AUUGAACGCUGGCGGCAUGCUUUACACAUGCAAGUCGAACGGUAACAGGCCGCAAGGUGCUGACGAGUGGCGAACGGGUGAGUAAUGCAUCGGAACGUGCCCAGUCGUGGGGGAUAACGCAGCGAAAGCUGUGCUAAUACCGCAUACGAUCUAUGGAUGAAAGCGGGGGACCGUAAGGUCUCGCGCGAUUGGAGCGGCCGAUGUCAGAUUAGGUAGUUGGUGGGGUAAAGGCCUACCAAGCCGACGAUCUGUAGCUGGUCUGAGAGGACGACCAGCCACACUGGGACGGAGACACGGCCAAGACUCCUACGGGAGGCAGCAGUGGGGAAUUUUGGACAAUGGGCGCAAGCCUGAUCCAGCAAUGCCGCGUGCAGGAAGAAGGCCUUCGGGUUGUAAACUGCUUUUGUACGGAACGAAACGGUCUGGGUUAAUACCCUGGGCUAAUGACGGUACCGUAAGAAUAAGCACCGGCUAACUACGCGCCAGCAGCCGCCGUAACAC